rnacentral:rRNA from 1 species
UAAGCGGAGGAAAAGAAACUAACAAGGAUUCCCCUAGUAACGGCGAGUGAAGCGGGAAGAGCUCAAAUUUGAAAUCUGGCACUUUCAGUGUCCGAGUUGUAAUCUCGAGAAGUGUUUUCCGCGCUGGACCGCAUAUAAGUCUGUUGGAAUACAGCGUCAUAGUGGUGAGAACCCCGUAACUGAUGCGGACGCCCAGUGCUUUGUGAUACACUUUCGAAGAGUCGAGUUGUUUGGGAAUGCAGCUCAAAUUGGGUGGUAAAUUCCAUCUAAAGCUAAAUAUUGGCGAGAGACCGAUAGCGAACAAGUACCGUGAGGGAAAGAUGAAAAGCACUUUGGAAAGAGAGUUAACAGUACGUGAAAUUGUUGGAAGGGAAACGCUUGAAGUCAGACUUGCUGUUUGGAAUUCAGCCGCAAGGUGUACUUUUCAGAUAUGCAGGCCAGCAUCAGUUUUUGGGGGUGAAAAAGGGUAUUGAGAAGGUAGCAGUUUCGGCUGUGUUAUAGCUCUUUACUGGAUUCAUCCUUGGGGACUGAGGAACGCAGCUCACUUUUUGCACGAUCUUCGGAUUGUUCUGAGCUUAGGAUGCUGGUGGAAUGGCUUUAAACGACCCGUCUUGAAACACG